rnacentral:rRNA from 1 species
AUUGAACGCUGGCGGCAGGCUUAACACAUGCAAGUCGAGCGGGGUGAUGGUGCUUGCACUAUCACUUAGCGGCGGACGGGUGAGUAAUGCUUAGGAAUCUGCCUAUUAGUGGGGGACAACAUCUCGAAAGGGAUGCUAAUACCGCAUACGUCCUACGGGAGAAAGCAGGGGAUCACUUGUGACCUUGCGCUAAUAGAUGAGCCUAAGUCGGAUUAGCUAGUUGGUGGGGUAAGGCCUACCAAGGCGACGAUCUGUAGCGGGUCUGAGAGGAUGAUCCGCCACCCUGGGACGGCGACACGGCUAAGACUCCUACGGGAGGAAGCAGUGGGGAAUAUUGGACAAUGGGGGGAACCCUGAUCCAGCCGUGCCGCGUGUGUGAAGAAGGCCUUAUGGUUGUAAAGCACUUUAAGCGAGGAGGAGGCUCUUUUGGUUAAUACCCAAGAUGAGUGGACGUUACUCGCAGAAUAAGCACCGGCUAACUCUGUGCCAGCCGCCGCGGUAA